rnacentral:rRNA from 1 species
CCAGACUCCUACGGGAGGCAGCAGUGAGGAAUAUUGGUCAAUGGGCGGGAGCCUGAACCAGCCAAGUCGCGUGAGGGAAGACGGUCCUAUGGAUUGUAAACCUCUUUUGUCGGGGAGCAAAAGACGCCACGCGUGGCGUUCCGAGAGUACCCGAAGAAAAAGCAUCGGCUAACUCCGUGCCAGCAGCCGCGGUAAUACGGAGGAUGCGAGCGUUAUCCGGAUUUAUUGGGGUUAAAGGGGGCGCCGGCGGGGCUGUAAGGCAGGAGUGAAAGGCCGGGGCCCAACCCCGGGCCCGCCGUUGAAACUGGCAGUCUCGAGUUGGAGAGAAGUAUGCGGAAUGCGCGGUGUAGCGGUGAAAUGCAUAGAUAUCGCGCAGAACUCCGAUUGCGAAGGCAGCAUGCCGGCUCCACACUGACGCUGAGGCACGAAAGCGUGGGUAUCGAACAGGAUUAGAUACCCUGGUAAC